CUUCAAGGUUCCUGCAGCUGCUGCUAGAAGAUGAGAAUUGUUUUAGUGAUCCUGGUAGUUCUCCCUUUCAACUCUCGCGAAGUUUAUGGAUGUGGUGGAUGUGCACCUGGACCAUCACCAACAUGGGGUCCAUGGAGACCAUCCUGCGAGAAGAGACUUGGAUAUAGGAGUCGUACUUGUGAGAACGGACAGUGUUCCGGAGAAUCCGAACAGAAGGAGGACUGUGAUGAGUGCGCUCUCAAGACAGAUAAAUGCCAACACCAUUGUAAAAAUGCUGAUGAAGGUUAUGAGUGUAGUUGCAACGCAGGAUACAAGAGAACAGGGGACCACAACU